ensembl:lncRNA
GCUGUGGCUCUGGCAUAGGCCAGCGGCUACAGCUCUGAUUGGACCUCUAGCCUGGGAACCUCCAUAUGCCACAGGUGCGGCCCUGGGGAAAAAAAAAAAAACACAGAAAAUGGCAGACUGACAAUACCCAAUACCCUCAAACCCAGAUCAAACCACCAUACCAUACCCAAAUUAUUUAAUUAGACUUUUAUGUGAAAGAAAUUUCUCUGUUGUAUAUAUCACUGUAUUUUUCAAUUUCUUUGUGAUAGCAACCUAACUUGUAGUCUAACUAAUAUAAUAUGCCUCUUCAGCUCUUUUUCUGAUAUCAGUUUUCAACUGAAAAAAUUUUUCAUUGCAAGAAACCAAAAUGGGCAUUUUUUUUGGCAUUUUCCCUAGUAAAAUUUGGCUUAGAAUAGUCUUAAAUUUCUAAAUUUAUAUUUGUCAGCAUAAUUACAACUAAAUGCUCAAUAAUGUGCAUAGAACUCAUACGAUUUCAUUUACACAAUGUCCCAAAACAGGCAAAACAAAUCUAGGAUGUUAGGGGCAUAAUAAAGGAAGCUAACUACUCAAUGACAGCUCAGUUUUUUAAAGAUCAUGGAAAGUAGGAAGUCAUACAGAGCUGAGAAAUCAGACAGAUGUAAAAUUAGAGGCUAGGGAACUGAGUUUAGAUAUCAUUUAAUCUGGUUGUUUAGGGCUAAGAGAUGAUGAAAACGCUUUAAGUAGUGAUACCCAGGAAGAAAUCUCCAAAGCCAUCUCUCCAUUGCAUACAAAUGUUUAUCUCCUUCACCCCAUUCUAGAGAAAAGUAACUCACUGGAUUUACUUAAAAGCAUUACCUCAAUUUAAUCUUUAUAGAAAUUACAUUCUCGAACACAUUCUAAAUAUUUUUGACCUUUCAAUGUUCCAUAUCAAUUGCACACACAAUAUCCUAUAGCAGUUGCACACAUAAAUGCUCACGUGUGUUUUUACACCGAUUAUUUCAAAGGAAAUAACUGGGGAUAGGAAUGAGGAUAUCUUGGAAUAAUUAUGUGCAUUUAGCUAACCAGUUUGAAUGACUGAAUGAUACUACAGAUGACAAAUCAUGGAUCAAGUGAAACAUAUCCUACGUAUCUCUUCCAUCUACUGCUGUUAUUAUGGGGGACGUUUUGUCCACUAAGAGAAAUAAACUGAGAAUGGAGUCCACCACAUCCAUACCAGAUCCAAACCGCCUCUAUGACCUACACCACAGCUCACAGCAAUGCCAGAUCCUUAACCCACUGAGUGAGGCCAGGGAUUCAUAGUGACUAGUUGGAUUCAUUUCUUCUGAGCCACUGCAAGAACUCCAAUCUAAUAUUCUUUUUGUUUGCAUUUUUAGCCUACCACCAUUUACUGUUUUCUGAAUAUUUUCAUGACUUUAAGAUUUACUUCAUAAACAUUGUAAUUUCCCUUGAGGAAGGAUACCACAUCCUAUUUUACUUUUGUUUCAUCAUAAGAAUAGGCAUACUGUAGGUGUUCAAUAAAGUAUAGUGAAUCGGGGAUGCAUAUAGGGGCUAAAGUCAUUAAAAGUUUUACAUUAAAAUUAUUUUCCCAAUGCCAGAAACUUAACUCAAGAAAUAUUUGUUUAGUGUGGAUAUUUACAGAUACAGUACAGUGAUUUUAGUGGGAUUUUAAUUUAGGUUUCAUGUAGUAUUCCCAAUCCAUCUGUUAAUUGCACUGAUUACAUCCUCUGGCUGAUUACACUGAAAAUUGCUAUCCAUGCUUCAGGUCAGGCAAUGAGAAAGUUGUGGGUUGAGUUGUGAGGGAGGAUAAAUCGGUGUGAAUUGAAGUAACAAGCAACUGAAAAUAAAGGCAGGGGAUGUUUGGAGAGAGUGCGCUGAUUAGUUAUCAUGCUGAGCAUUUUGCCUUCAACAAAAUCUAACUCUGUGGGCAGAUUGAAAGCCUAAACUGCCGACUUACUGUGAUACCACCUUGUCCCUUAAAGUUCUCAACUCUCUAAAUUGUAUUUUAUGUUAUUUUUAGCAGGAACACACCUCUAAGUCCAUCCAUGGGGAAUGUUUAUUACUGCACUAGCUGGUCUCAAAUCGUUGCUUCAAUUCCCAAAGUGUGAUCACUUCACUUUCCAUUGACCUCCUUGAGGUGUCCUGUGGGAUUCUCUACAUACUGGGAAGUAGUUAAGUGUAGUCCGAGACUUAGGGAGGACAGCACAUCCUACUUGGGCCUCGGUCCUCUCUUACUUGAGUGUUAUUUUUGAGUCUUGAGUGUUUUCUUAUCUCCAGGCAGAGGAUAUUGGAAGGAAGGGUGAGAAACCAUAGUCAAAGUGAGAAUUCCUUCAGGUCUGGUUUGUUCCCCCAAGCACAAGAGCCUUGCUCAAGGCCAGUAAAUGGAAGAGGGAGAGUAAGAGAAGACUGAGCAUUUAAGCAAAUCUGUAUUUGGCUGAUGCAAUAUACUGAAACUCUAUCAAUCUGCAUUUAUAUCUGCUUUGGGCCUCUUGCUAUUUGGUAUUUUCAGCAGUGACUUGGAUAACAAAAUAGAGGGCCUGCUUAUCAAAUUCUUGAAAGUCAAAUUUGUGAGGGAUAGCCAACACUCUGAAUAACAAAAUAAAAAUUCUGAAGACUGUCAGCUUAAAGAGUGAACAAGAUGAAAAUCAAUAGAAUAAAUGGGAAGUCCCACACUUAGAUUAAAACCUCCAUUGCAAGAGACAGGUUUGGGGAAAUGUAACUUAAUAUCAGUUUCUAUAAAGAAAGACAUUGAUUGUUGGCACAACUUAUGAUAAAGAGUGGAGUGAUCUUACACUGAGCUAAUAGAAAUAUAGCCUAGAGAAUGUCGGAGAUAACAAUCUAAAUCUACUCUGUGAUGAUUCAGUUAAAUCUAGAGUCUUAUGUUUGGCUAAUAUGUUUUAAAAGAGCCAUUGAAAACAAGAUGGUAAUUGCAUGGUAAAAACAUAGUCUGUAGGCGUUCCUGGUGGCUCAAUGCUAACAAACCCCACUAGUAUCCGUGAGGAUGUGGGUUUGAUCCCUGGCUGUGCUCAAUGGGUUAAGGAUCCAGCGUUGCUGUGAGCUGUGCUAUAGAUCACAGAUGUGGCUCUGAUCUGGCAUACAAAAAAAAAAAAAAAAAAAAAAAAAAAAAA